GGCACAGCUCAUCUUAGAUCACAGAUCCUGGAAACAUCCUUAAGAAACACAAGUCACUACAAAAGGAUUUUAGGAGGUCAUGUGGGGAGACAAAGAGCACCAAGGUGAUGUUGGAUUCAUUUGUUUUUGCUCCUUCUGAGCUUUCAAGAGAAAUACUGAAGGAGGAUUCGCUGUGAAUCAGAUCGAUACGAUGGUUUCCAUUUUUGGCUUUUUGGCAUCUUCACUUAUGUUAGUCGUUGUGUGCCUCGUUGUAUAUACAGUGAUACGACAUGCAUUUCCGUCUGUGUAAAUGCACAUGCUUCCGAGAGACCAAGCAGCACAGGCUUCCGUGAGGCACACGUCUGUCAACCGCGAGUGGAAUGAGAGGAGUGAGUCUCCCGUCGGGGUUCCCUGUUCUCCAUACAGUUUGGGAAACGGAAGACACUCAACUUUGGAAAAGCAUCUGGGGGUACUUGGGGGUGGCGCUAGUCCCCUCUCUUGAAACCUUUGUAACUAUUAAGGCUGAAGUGCCAUUUAAAGAAAAAGGAAGGCAAAGAAAUGAGCUAUAGGAAGCCAUGAGUCUGUUACUGAGACAAGAGGAAGCUCAUCCUGCCCCGACAGCCGCAGAGUGAGUUGGCAUGACGCGCCGUGAGGAAGAAGUGGCACCCCAAGAUAGUGGAGGAACCGACUCCUGCUGGUUGGAGGUCCUUUUUCUCAUCCUGGGGUAGUCUUGGAGCUGCAGGAGAAGGGGGUGGGCAUUGGAUAAGAGUCCCCAGUGGGACGUUGGACAAGAGUCCGCCUUCUGUGGAUUCCCUGGAACAUCAGCUCCUUCGGAGGUGAGAAGACUGGGACUGAGGCUCUGCCCACGUCAGCUCAAGGGUCAUGUGACUUGGCACAGCCCGCCGCUGAGAACCGCCCUGGCAAGGUAGGGGUGGGAGGGGUCCUGGGUGCGGUGAAAGCCAGCCGACCUGAAGAGCUUGCUGUGACAGGGAGAUCCACGGCUGGAGUUAUCCCACGCCUCCCUCCACUACCAGCAAUGCAUGUGAAGCUAAAAUAAAGUUUUCUAAACUGUGACUGUUUUUUAAAAAAAGAACAAGUUUUGACCAACUGUGUUAGAAGACCAAUGUGUUGGGGUGUCUGGGUGGCUCAGUCGUACAGUUAAGCUCCAU